rnacentral:tRNA from 1 species
GAGGUUAUAGCUCAGUGGCAGAGUGCCUGCUUAGCAUGCAAGAAGUCCUGGGUUCAAUCCCCAGUUCCUCCA